GUGGGGAAUCUUGCGCAAUGGGCGAAAGCCUGACGCAGCCAUGCCGCGUGAAUGAUGAAGGUCUUAGGAUUGUAAAAUUCUUUCACCGGGGACGAUAAUGACGGUACCCGGAGAAGAAGCUCCGGCUAACUUCGUGCCAGCAGCCGCGGUAAUACGAAGGGGGCUAGCGUUGCUCGGAAUUACUGGGCGUAAAGGGCGCGUAGGCGGACAGCUUAGUCAGAGGUGAAAGCCCAGGGCUCAACCUUGGAAUUGCCUUUGAUACUGGCUGUCUUGAGUUUGGGAGAGGUGAGUGGAACUCCGAGUGUAGAGGUGAAAUUCGUAGAUAUUGGAAGGAACACCAGUGGCGUAAGCGGCUAUCUGGACGAGUAUUGACGCUGAGGCACGAAAGCGUGGGGAUCAAACAGGAUUAGAUACCCGUGUAGUCC
rnacentral:rRNA from 1 species